AGCGAACGCUGGCGGCAGGCCUAACACAUGCAAGUCGAACGGACCCUUCGGGGUUAGUGGCGGACGGGUGAGUAACACGUGGGAACGUGCCUUUAGGUUCGGAAUAGCUCCUGGAAACGGGUGGUAAUGCCGAAUGUGCCCUUCGGGGGAAAGAUUUAUCGCCUUUAGAGCGGCCCGCGUCUGAUUAGCUAGUUGGUGGUGUAACGGACCACCAAGGCGACGAUCAGUAGCUGGUCUGAGGGGAUGAUCAGCCACAUUGGGACUGAGACACGGCCCAAACUCCUACGGGAGGCAGCAGUGGGGAAUAUUGGACAAUGGGCGCAAGCCUGAUCCAGCCAUGCCGCGUGAGUGAUGAAGGUCUUAGGAUCGUAAAGCUCUUUCACCGGGGAAGAUAAUGACGGUACCCGGAGAAGAAGCCCCGGCUAACUUCGUGCCAGCCGCCGCCGUAAAAC
rnacentral:rRNA from 1 species